rnacentral:rRNA from 1 species
UACGUAGGGUCCGAGCGUUGUCCGGAGUGACUGGGCGUAAAGCGCGCGCAGGCGGCCCGCGAGGUGUCCUGUGAAAGCCCCGUGCUCAACGCGGGAGGGUCAGGGCAAACCGGCGGGCUUGAGGCCGGUAGAGGUGGGUGGAACUCCUGGUGGAGUGGUGAAAUGCGUAGAGAUCAGGAAGAACACCGGUGGCGAAGGCGGGUCUCUGGGCCGAUACUGACGCUGAGGAGCAAAAGCGUGGGGAGCGAACAGG